GAAAUCUCUGUCAAAACUGAAUAUUGAUUUUGCUCAGCCUGUGAGUUCUCUCCUCUCCCUGUGUCGACGUGUUCCUCUUCUUGGUGUCUCUGGUUCUCAUAUCUGCUAUUGUUGCUUUUGUCUAGAAGCAGCAGGUCUAUUCUAAGUCGCUGCGUCCAAGUUUCGUUACGGUCCGAGCCAUGUCAGAGUCUCAGACAGCUCUAAAGAAUCAGCCACAGUCCUCGGCCUCCUCUGGAAAGAAGCAAGCUUUGAUAUCUUGAUAUCUUUAUCUGACAAGUAGGAUUUAGCUACUCUUGGCAACGGUCUUCAAGAGUGGAUACACUAUUGUUUCUACUGGAGGAACUGCCUCAACCUUGGAGAAUGCUGGAGUCUCUGUCACUUCCAAAGUGGAGACGCUUACUCAUUUCCCUGAAAU